rnacentral:lncRNA from 1 species
UUAUAUCCCAUAAAUAAUUUUGAAUUGAUAUUAAUAUAUUAUUUUUAAUUAUCUGGGAUGGUAAGUGUAUCUCACUCUCUUUAGAAGAGUGAGAGUGAGAGAUGUGAGGAACAAAUAAUAACAUUUAUUUAUUAAAAAUACUAGUAUACGUAUCCAUGCGAUGAACGAAUAAUAUUAAAUAUUAUUUAUAAUAGUUUAACAUUAAAAAUGUCUCUUUCGACCAAGUUAAAUCAUACUCC